rnacentral:rRNA from 1 species
GACGUAGGGCGCAAGCGUUGUCCGGAUUUAUUGGGCGUAAAGAGCUCGUAGGCGGCUCGUUGCGUCGGCUGUGAAAACCCGCAGCUCAACUGUGGGCUUGCAGCCGAUAUGGGCGGGCUGGAGUUCGGUAGGGGAGACUGGAAUUCCUGGUGUAGCGGUGAAAUGCGCAGAUAUCAGGAGGAACACCGGUGGCGAAGGCGGGUCUCUGGGCCGAUACUGACGCUGAGGAGCGAAAGCGUGGGGAGCGAACAGG